rnacentral:ncRNA from 2 species
AAAACCCGUACGGGAGAGUCCUCGCCGGGACCACCGGUCACCGGCGCGGCGCCGAAGGAGCAACUCCUCCCCGGAACCUCUCAGGCACAAGGACCGUACGGACUGG